UAGGUAGGAGAAAUAAGGU
rnacentral:miRNA from 1 species